AUCACCAGUUGUUCUCUCUAAAUGUGUGCUCUUUGUACCUCACAUACAGUCAAAUUGACGGCAGUGCCGCAUGCGUGUGGAUGUUGACUCAUUUCUGAGGGAUGCUCACGAAUGAAUACUGGCGCAAUUUGUAUUGAACCUUCUUGGAAAAAGAAAUAACUAUUGCAUCUUCCCGAUGGCAAGAAGUCAAGGCUUUGGUGAUGAAAAAUUAAGACAGCGAAGAGGAGUAUAUACCGGAAUCUUGCCGUAUCUAUAGUGGCUUUACCGUGCCAAAAAGCUUCAACAUCUUUGCUUAACUCACAAAUGCCUAGGAUUAAUUAUUUUCUGGAAAACAGCAUUUCAUUCACUUCCUUUCUUUGAAUAUUUCGGGCGUGUUAGGUACGUGAUGCAAUAAUAAAACGAGGUAAAAUUUA